UCAGAAGUCAGGAUUGAAGUUUCAAGAACUAUUGGGGUCAAAUAGGAAGCAGAAAGUUAAAGCUUUACGGGUUAGGGCAUCUUCAGCAGCCUUAUUCUGUCAACGCGUGAUGGGUAAAAUUCAAGACGAGUUAGCUAGAGCGUAGAGAGAUGUGGAUGAUACUUCACCAGUUGAUGAACUCGAGGUACUCAAAAGUGCCUUGGGUUAUAGGAAUGGGCACGUACGCGAUGUUGGUCAUGUUGUUAAAAAUGUCACCCACGAAAUAUCGAGCUCAUACC
rnacentral:lncRNA from 1 species